rnacentral:rRNA from 1 species
CUCAACCUGGGAACUGCAUUGGUGACUGGCAGGCUAGAGUAUGGCAGAGGGGGGUAGAAUUCCACGUGUAGCAGUGAAAUGCGUAGAGAUGUGGAGGAAUACCGAUGGCGAAGGCAGCCCCCUGGGCCAAUACUGACGCUCAUGCACGAAAGCGUGGGGAGCAAACAGGAUUAGAUACCCUGGUAGUCCACGCCCUAAACGAUGUCAACUAGUUGUUGGGGAUUCAUUUCCUUAGUAACGUAGCUAACGCGUGAAGUUGACCGCCUGGGGAGUACGGUCGCAAGAUUAAAACUCAAAGGAAUUGACGGGGACCCGCACAAGCGGUGGAUGAUGUGGAUUAAUUCGAUGCAACGCGAAAAACCUUACCUACCCUUGACAUGGUCGGAAUCCCGCUGAGAGGUGGGAGUGCUCGAAAGAGAACCG